rnacentral:rRNA from 1 species
CCUCCGGCGGCUGCAGUGAGGAAUAUUGGUCCAUGGGCGCAAGCCUGAACCAGCCAAGUCGCGUGAGGGAAGACGGCCCUACGGGUUGUAAACCUCUUUUGCCGGGGAGCAAGCCUGAGCACGUGUGCCCAGGCGGAGAGUACCCGGCGAAAAAGCAUCGGCUAACUCCGUGCCAGCAGCCGCGGUAAUACGGAGGACCCGAGCGUUAUCCGGAUUUAUUGGGUUUAAAGGGAGCGUAGAUGGGUUGUUAAGUCAGUUGUGAAAGUUUGCGGCUCAACCGUAAAAUUGCAAGUGAUACUGGCAGUCUUGAGUACAGAUGAGGUAGGCGGAAUUCGUGGUGUAGCGGUGAAAUGCUUAGAUAUCACGAAGAACUCCGAUUGCGAAGGCAGCUUACUAAACUGCCACUGACAUUGAUGCUCGAAAGUGUGGGUAUCAAACAGGAUUAGAUACCCGAGUAGUC